rnacentral:lncRNA from 1 species
AUGUGCAUGAUAGCCUGGAGCAUUUAAUGUAUGAUUCUGACCUGCUGUAGCUUCAGAAUAUUUGCCAUUUUAUUGGUAUUGCCACCAUAUAAUGUUUUGCACCAGAACGUCUUUAAAAUCAUUUUAUGACGUUAGUAUUGUAUACACAAACACACCAAGGUUGUGUCGCAGCUGGAGCCUUUGUGAAAUUGACUGCCUCGUCCAGCUUGCUAAGUGGGAGAGGGUCAUAGUGUCGUGUUUAAGGCUGUGAUAGAGAGUGACCUGUCCUCCUCACACUGGAUAAUGGACUGAGGAUUUCUAUACCAGCCCAUUAAACAGCAAAUAGCAGUUAGUAGACUUACAAGCACCAGUACCACAAAAUGCUUUUUAACAAAUUUGAUCUGUAUUUUUUCUUAAGUGUAUGUAUAUUUAGUAGAGGCUGCUUCAGAUCACCACACCUAGUCCCACCCCUGGGUUUAGGACUCAAAGGCUAAGGCUUGGUUCUCACUCAGGUGCUAAACCUGACCAUGUACUAUAGAAUGUCAGAUUAUAAAUGGCGUCUUGGCAUGGACUGACUAGCAUCACAUGCAAACCAAUUCCUUGCACAUAAAAAACCAGCAUGUCAAGGAGAAGAUUAGAUGGGAACCCUUCUUCAGAAUGUCAGAUUUUCUCUGUGAAAAACAGAGAGUUUUUUAUCUUUAUGUUUUUAUGUUUUUAAAAGUUUUUUAAUGGCAAAACUUCUAUUCUAAAGUGAUGUAGUUCAUACAGGGCUUUACCACCUAAAUGCUAUACUAGGCAUGAUUUUGCUGAGGGAAGGAGGAGGGAGUUGGAGAGGGAAGAGGAUGGACAAGGUAUUGGGCAAGGAAAUGAGAUCAUUGUUUCCACUGAUAUGUACAACUUGAAAAAAAUGGAUUUAAAAUAAAAGGUAAAACCUCAGUCUUGACUUUUUUUUUUAAGGCAGCAUGAAUAUUGGAAACAAUGGCAGGGAAAACUAUCCAAACAAGUCUCUUAGUUUACCAUCUUUCCUUAUUUUCUAGGAUACAGAUGUUUGUAAUGUGCUGAGUUGUGAUGUGUUAGAUAAAAAUAUUUGUGAUGUGUUGAAGAAGCUUGAAUCAGUAAGUGCCAUUGAAAUAAUUUAGAUCAGAACUUUCCAAAAGAUGAGCCAGAAUAUGCUCAUGUGACUCAUGGGAACAGCGAGUGUGUCACGAGGAAAAGAAAAUUAGCCAGCUGGAGACGAAGCUGCCCAAUGCAUCUCUGUGUGAUUCACUGCACUGAUUUUGCCUCCUCCAGCCAGCUCCCACUAAGGUAAAGGUAAAGGUACCCCUGCCCGUACGGGCCAGUCGUGUCCGACUCUAGGGUUGUGCUCCCAUCUCACUUAAGAGGCCGGGGGCCAGCGCUGUCCGGAGACACUUCCAGGUCACGUGGCCAGCGUGAUGAAGCUGCUCUGGCGAGCCAGCACCAGCGCAGCACACGGAAAUGCUGUUUACCUUCCCGCUAUAAAGCGGUACCUAUUUAUCUACUUGCACUUAAGGGUGCUUUCGAACUGCUAGGUGGGCAGGAGCUGGGACUGAAAGACAGGAGCUCACCCCGCCACGGGGAUUCGAACCGCCGACCAUACGAUCGGCAAGUCCUAGGCACUGAGGUUUUACCCACAGCGCCACCCGCAUCCCGCCAGCUCCCACUAGAAGUGGCUAAUUCUUCCUUGCCUUGAUAUCAACUGUAAGAGAUAAAGUAUGCAGCCAUUCCCAAUAUAGAGAUGCAGCGGACUUACCUGCCUACAGAGGAAACUGUUGCUUCAUCAUGAAUUACUGUUCAGGACUUAGUUAAGGAGCAAACCCAAUACUGUUUUAAGAGAGUGGGUGGUACUUACACUUUCACACUGUAGUCCCAUACACCUUUACCUGGGACUGUUCAGCUGAACUCAGUGUGACAUGGCUCCAAAUAAACAUGUAUAGGGUUUCAUUGUAAAAGUAAAGCUUUUCAAGUAUAAGAGUGAGGCAUGCCUCCAGUUUAAAUUCAGGGAGAGAGAGAACUGAGUCUCUGUUAUCAGAAGUUUGAGAACUGAGAGAUGCUGGAUUAGACCUGUCUGCACAAAACUGUGGGAAAGACUGCAGCCAUGGGGCAAUAUGACUAAUGCCGCAUUUAAAAGUUAUCCUACUAUAAGAAAGCCAAACUUUUAGGAAAUGGAAAACAGCAUGCUUUUUAAAAGAUUUCCCACCUAGCAAAAUUUCCCAUUAAAUAAUUUCUAAAACCUCCAGUUUCUCAAUUUAUUUUUCUUGUGGGCUGCCUGGUCACUGUUGGAAAUAUAAUGCCGGGCCUAGAUGAGCUCACCCUAGUCUGGUCCGGAAAGUCUCUUCUGAGAUUGUUUUCAUUUCCAAAAUGUGGCAGUGAUAGUACAAAUCAGCCCUUAACUGGUUCCCUGUGGAUUUUUCACAUAACCAUAAAAAGUCUGCUGUGUUUCAUUGCACCAAAUCUAUACAGCAUAAAGAACAGGAGUUCAGCAAUGGAGCACCUUGAAAGGCAGAGCAUUAAGGAGAUGGUUUCGUCUCGUCUUCUGGAACGUACAGGAAUUUGUGGUGUGCUUGGUUGGCGAUGUAGUGCUCUCUGCUGGUUUGUAGGAAGGAAAGGCACAUGCCAUCCUGUUCCCAUCCAUUAACACAGGUGUGGGGUUAGGAAGGUGCUGUUGUUGAUAUGUGCUUAGAUGGGAGUGUUUUAAAUUACUAAGAUGGUGGUGACUGUAAAGGCAGUGCCUGGGUUUUUUCUUAAUUGUUUCUUCAAUGCUAUCAUGCUGUUUUCAUUGACUAGUAAAUACUGUACUCAAUACUAGCAGCAUUGGGACAGGGCAUGAUCCUUAUCAGCAGACUGUGAACAGACCAUGCAUGCAUACAAACUGCACAAAAGUAGACAUGUCCAUGAAAUCAGGUGCUUAUAGCACUGGGAGUCCAAAUUAGGCAUGUGGGCCAGAGGUUCUCUAUUGCUGGUCUGUAGGUUGGCAUGGUGUCAGGCAAUACUGGAGAAUUCUAACUUUCUUCAAUAUGCUCUAACACCAGGCAGUCAGUUGAUGCCCUGCUUUCUGAUCACUUCACCAGUUCAGUCCCCAGUGAAGUGAAUCAGGUGGGUGAGCUUUCAGUUGCACGAAAGUGAUAUUUGAGCAAAUAGUACAUUAUGAAACAGUUUACUUUUAUUCACAUUUCAUGAUUAAUGGGUACAUCAUUCUGAAGUUUGCAGGAUAAAUUAAAAUUCAGAAAUGAAACAAGCAAUACAAGCUAUAAUUUUAUUCAGGUGCUGGCCUGUUUAUACCAUUCAUGCUAGUCAUGACAUGGGUGUUUAAUAAAUAUUGAACAAAAAGAGGGGGAAAUGUGAAUUUGAUGAAGUUUGCAGGCAAUUAGAGCAAUUUAUUUCACUAUUAACAUGACAGACUCUAAAUGGAAAUCAGCUAUGGAUGAAAAUGCAGUUUUAUUGCCCUGUAUUCAGGCGGCUGUGUAAUUAAAUAAUGAAAUAGGGUGGCAUCCAUGACUGCCUUUUCUAGCAAGGCAACCAUCCAUCACAUCAUCUUCUGCUGUGUGUGUAUAGAAAGAGCUUUCAUCACCCCAAACCUGUUUCUGAUGAGUAUAAGAAUGCAUCCGUCUGCUAUGUCGAAAUUCCAGCUACAAUAUGUUGUUCUCUUCCUAGCUACUCCUUUGAGAAUUUUAGGUGGAACAAUACUUUUAAACCUGCAGUGCUGGCCCAGACUUUACAGGCUCCUUAGAAAGAAUCCUGUAACUGCAGACACAUUCCUGCAGAAUCCAUUUUCAAAUUCCACAUAGACAUGGCCAUACUGGAGAGGAAAAGGUCUGGGCCCUGGAUGGGUAGAGAGCUAUUGUUCCUGGAGUGAUGAGGUCAGUAAGUUGAGACAACUUGGGAAGGUGAACUGUGAGCAUAGGUGCCAGGUCUAGGGAGCCCUGGGUGUCAGGGCACCUACAAUUUUUUUGGGGGGUGCUUAGCACCCACGAGUGGCUCUGACGCGACUUCCGGUUACUGACACGGCCUCCCAGAUGACGAAUGCAACUUCUGGUAGAAAGAAACUUCCGGUAGAGGUCUUACGAGGCCUCAGACGUGACCUCCGAGACCUCGCAAGGUCAAGUCCAAGGCCUCUAGACCUCUGACACAACUUCUGGUAUCCACCAGAAGUUGCGUUCGGAGGCCUGGCAGGGCCUCGGAAGUCACUUCUGAGAGCUCGCAGGGUCGCAGAAGCAACGUCCAAGGCGCUGCCACACCUUUGAAUGAAACUUCUGGUGGAAACCAGAAAUUGUGUUCAGAAGUCUCUCUUGGAAGAGCUGCCACACUGUCGACCCAACAUGACAUCGUGACGUCACAGGCGCCAUUGGGCACCCAUAACCUGGGGGCCAAGUUGGCGCCCCUGACUUCGAGGCAAAGAAGAGAGUUGGGGUGGUGCCCUUGCAUAAGAGGAUGCUGGGGGACUGCUUGCAGAGCCCCAGUGUAACCUCAACGAAUCAUUGGCUAGGAUUUUUCCUAGCACUAGCUUGCUUAUUCCACCAUAUGCUGCCGUGUUCUGAUUAAACUGUUGGCAAGGGUUAUUGGUCUGGAUUAGGUUUGCCCUGAGAAUAUGGGGGCAUUCUGAUUCUUUGAAGAUGGUCUUGUCCUGGCCUUCACUGCCAGAAGAAGAACUCAGAUUUCCAGCUUGGUUUUUGCCAAAUACUUAAAUCAGAGUGGCAUAUGAGCAGAGCACUGUUACAAGGUGAAGCAGUUGUGCAAGAGGCUUAGAUGGCUGGGUGCAAGCUAAAACGUUGAUCCAACAAGCAACAAUCUCCCUGCACCCUCCUUUUGAAGUUUGGGGUGGGAACAGCAUUUAGCCUGGCUGAGUCAUGGGCCUGGGCAACAAAACAGGCCAUUUCAAACAUAAGUUUUAUCCAUGGAAAUAAGCUCCAUAUAGAUUCUGUUAUUAUAUAGAUGAUAAUACCUGAACAAUACAUUCAUUGAAAAAUCUCCCUGGGUGUUUUUACCGAUGCUAACUGCCAGAGCUAAUACUGGAAGGAGAUAAAUUUUGUUUUGCUUUAAAUCCCUUAAGAUUAAGCACUCUGUACUCUUUUAUAAUUCACUAUAUGCUGUCUGUGUCCAGUGUUUGAAACACCUGUUUCUGAGACUGUGUCACAGGAAUUUGUGAUUGUGUUAAACAUGGUAUUAUUACUUCUUGCAUGUAUUCUGAUUGGAGGAAAAAUUAAUAUGGAAGUGCUCAUCGAAAGGCACGAUUUUCAUGUAUAUUCAUGAUCAAGGGGCUAGAGGCGCAUUUUAUCUUUGCAAUGAUUAUAGCAAUGUUUGCUAGCUAUCAAAAUCAGAGCUAUUUCAUUUUGACUCUUCAUUCAUAUUCAGAUGUGUUGUUUUUUUCACUACUGGUUUUAAUUACCUUAUUCAUAAUUCCUAGCUUGAAAAGUGUGGCAACAUGAGUGUGGCCUAUGGCCAUAAAAGGUUUUAAGGGCAAGCAGCGUAUAUGGUAUCAAUGCUCAAACUUCUGACUUUGGUCAAGGAAAACACACAGCAGUAGAAUGAAUACAGAAAAUUAUCUUUGCCGCAUCACACGUGCUGUGUUUGUUUUUACACAUGCUUAUACAUGACAUAUUG